AUUGAACGCUGGCGGCAUGCUUUACACAUGCAAGUCGAACGGUAACAGGCCGCAAGGUGCUGACGAGUGGCGAACGGGUGAGUAAUGCAUCGGAACGUGCCCAGUCGUGGGGGAUAACGCAGCGAAAGCUGUGCUAAUACCGCAUACGAUCUAUGGAUGAAAGCGGGGGACCGUAAGACCUCGCGCGAUUGGAGCGGCCGAUGUCAGAUUAGCUAGUUGGUGGGGUAAAGGCCCACCAAGGCGACGAUCUGUAGCUGGUCUGAGAGGACGACCAGCCACAGUGGGACGGAGACACGGCCCAGACCCCUACGGGAGGCAGCAGGGGGGAAUUUUGGACAAGGGGCGCAAGCCUGAUUCAGCAAUGCCGCGUGCAGGAAGAAGGCCUUCGGGUUGUAAACUGCUUUUGUACGGAACGAAACGGUCUGGGUUAAUACCCUGGGCUAAUGACGGUACCGUAAGAAUAAGCACCGGCUAACUACGUGCCAGCCGCCGCCGUAA
rnacentral:rRNA from 1 species